rnacentral:rRNA from 1 species
AGAGUUUGAUCAUGGCUCAGAAUCAACGCUGGCGGCGUGCCUAACACAUGCAAGUCGAACGCGAAAGUGGAGCAAUCCAUGAGUAGAGUGGCAAACGGGUGAGUAACGCGUGGGUGACCUGCCUUCGAGUGGGGGAUAACGCUCCGAAAGGGACGCUAAUACCGCAUAACAUCCCGCCUUUUAAGAGGUGGAAAUCAAAGCCUGGGACCGCAAGGCCAGGCGCUGGAAGAGGGGCCCGCGUCUGAUUAGCUAGUUGGUGGGGUAAUGGCUCACCAAGGCUUCGAUCAGUAUCCGGCCUGAGAGGGCGGACGGACACACUGGGACUGAGACACGGCCCAGACUCCUACGGGAGGCAGCAGUGGGGAAUUGUUCGCAAUGGGCGCAAGCCUGACGACGCAACGCCGCGUGGAGGAUGAAGAUCUUCGGGUCGUAAACUCCUUUCGAUCGAGACGAAUGGCCUCUGGGUGAACAAUCCAGAGGAGUGACGGUACCGAGAGAAGAAGCCCCGGCUAACUCCGUGCCAGCAGCCGCGGUA